rnacentral:lncRNA from 1 species
GCAAGUUGAUUGAAACAAAACAUACAUGCUUCACAUAAUCCAUACAACACUACAAACAAAACAUACAUACUUCAAAUAAUCCAUACAACACUACAAACAAAACAUACAUGCUUCAAAUAAUCCAUACAACACUACAAACAAAACAUAUAUGCUUCACAAAAGAUAGUGCUUUCUUCAAGAUUCUUCUUCAUCUGUUGCUUCAAGACUUUCACUAGAAUUUUAUUCAAUCGAUAGUGCUUUAUCAACAAUUUGCAGAUCACCAUAUUU